ACUGUUGUACCUCAGCGACAGAGCACAUGCUUUGCAUGCAAAAGGCUCCAGGUUCAGUCCCUGGCAGACAGUA